rnacentral:rRNA from 1 species
AUUGAACGCUGGCGGCAGGCCUAACACAUGCAAGUCGAACGAGUGGCGGACGGGUGAGUAAUGUCUGGGAAACUGCCUGAUGGAGGGGGAUAACUACUGGAAACGGUAGCUAAUACCGCAUACCAUCAGAUGUGCCCAGAUGGGAUUAGCUUGGUGGUGGGGUAACGGCUCACCAAGGCGACGCUCCCUAGCUGGUCUGAGAGGGUGACCAGUGAAACUGGAACGGAGACACGGUCCAGACGCCUACGAGAGGCAGCAGUGGGGAAGAUGGCAGAAUGGGCGCAAGCCGGAUGCAGCCAUGCCGGGUGUAUGAAGAAGGCCUUCGGGUUGUAAAGUACUUUCAGCGGGGAGGCGUUACCCGCAGAAGAAGCACCGGCUAACUCCGUGCCAGCAGCCGCGGUAAUAC